UAGUACUUUCUAUGGCAACUU
rnacentral:miRNA from 1 species